AUUAAACGCUGGCGGCAUGCCUUACACAUGCAAGUCGAACGGUAGCGCGGGGCAACCUAGCGACGAGUGGCGAACGGGUGAGUAAAGCAUCGGAACGUGCCCUGGAAUGGGGGAUAACGUAGCGAAAGUUACGCUAAUACCGCAUAUUCUGUGAGCAGGAAAGCAGGGGAUCGCAAGACCUUGCGUUCUGGGAGCGGCCGAUGUCGGAUUAGCUAGUUGGUGGGGUAAAAGCCUACCAAGGCGACGAUCCGUAGCGGGUCUGAGAGGAUGAUCCGCCACACUGGGACUGAGACACGGCCCAGACUCCUACGGGAGGCAGCAGUGGGGAAUUUUGGACAAUGGGCGGAAGCCUGAUCCAGCCAUGCCGCGUGAGUGAAGAAGGCCUCGGUU
rnacentral:rRNA from 1 species